UACGUAGGGGGCUAGCGUUAUCUGGAAUUACUGGGCGUAAAGGGUGCGUAGGUGGUUUCUUAAGUCAGAGGUGAAAGGCUACGGCUCAACCGUAGUAAGCCUUUGAAACUGGGGAACUUGAGUACAGGAGAGGAGAGUGGAAUUCCUAGUGUAGCGGUGAAAUGCGUAGAUAUUAGGAGGAACACCAGUUGCGAAGGCGGCUCUCUGGACUGUAACUGACACUGAGGCACGAAAGCGUGGGGAGCAAACAGG
rnacentral:rRNA from 1 species